rnacentral:rRNA from 1 species
UACGUAGGGUGCAAGCGUUAUCCGGAAUCACUGGGCGUAAAGCGUGCGUAGGUGGGAAUUUAAGUGAGAUGUGAAAUCGUGUGGCUCAACCAUAUCGUUGUAUCUCAUACUGGGUUCCUAGAGGACGGCAGAGGCAAGUGGAACUAGCAGUGUAGCAGUGAAAUGCGUAGAUAUUGCUAAGAACACUAAUGGCGAAGGCAGCUUGCUGGGCCACUCCUGACACUGAGGUACGAAAGCGUGGGGAGCGAACAGG